rnacentral:rRNA from 1 species
UACGGGGGGAGCAAGCGUUGUUCGGAUUUACUGGGCGUAAAGGGCGGGUAGGCGGCCACCGCAAGUCAGUUGUGAAAUCUCUGGGCUUAACCCAGAAAGGUCAACUGAUACUGCGGGGCUAGAGUGCAGAAGGGGCAACUGGAAUUCUCGGUGAAGCGGUGAAAUGCGUAGAUAUCGAGAGGAACACCUGCGGCGAAGGCGGGUUGCUGGGCUGACACUGACGCUGAACUGCGAAGGCUAGGGGAGCGAACGGG